UCUAGCCUAGCUGAUAAAUUACCUAAAAUGCUCCCACAAAUUGCACAAUGUGACCCUCAUUCAUUAUCUUCAUGUUCCUGGAAUUUGUGAUACAAAGAACAAGGUACAGCCAAUCAAUAGCUUGUGUCAAUUCAGGCCCAGUUCCUUAGAACUGCUGCUGCUCAGAACAGGACUACAUACAUAUUCAGGGCAACUUGAAUCCAUGUCUCCCAGGCUGCAUUCCUUAAACUUGGUCUAAAUAAACUCUCUACUUAUAUUAGUUUUGUCUCAGAUUUUUACUUCAGGUAAAUAUUUCAGAGUGAUGCAUCCUGACUAUCAGAUGUCCCUUUUCAGACUUGGUGCUUGGUACCAGCACAAACCUAUCGUGUUCUUUAGACUCCAGAGGUUUCCCCUUGGGUGCAAAGGGCAAAUUCUCCUGAAUCGAGACCUCCCUCCUUUUAUCUGAGAUCUAGUGUUUAUUUGGGCUAUUGAUCAAACCCUCUCUUUCCUUUAAGAGAAAAGACUUCUAUGUCUGCCUCUGGAUAGAAAAUUUGGGUCGACAACUUUUGCUGUCUCUGCCUGUACCUCAUGUCAUGAGGUUUGGGUUACGGUACUGGCAGUCGAACACCAGAGGUUUCACUCUUUGCGGGAUGGGGUAAGGAGAUAAAGACAUCAAAGAUUAUGGCUUCAACCCUGAAGAUUUUUUUUUAUUGGAAAAGCAUCAAAUAAAGGACUCUCUCCAACCACACUGAAAAGGACCAUAUCAGACAGCCUUGCCUGAAUGGACAUCUUUUAUCACUGGACAUCUGGAAGCUGACCUACAGCCAGUCACCUUGUUCUUCAGACCAGAAAGAGAAAAAUCUCAAUCAAAAGGGAGAAAUGAGAAAGAAAAGUGACUCAGAGCAGUCUGAAGAACGUGAGCCACUGCUGGUCAGAGCAGAUACUCAGCACAGCUUGAAUCUACGUAUCCUGGAUUGAAGUCCUCAAACUUGGCCGAAUAAACUUUCUAUUUACAUUAA